UAGCAUUAAAAACACCAUUCUCAUUGAAGUGGGUCUUAAGCAACUUUGCAAAUCUAAAAUUCUGUAGCAAAAAAAUAAAUUUUCUUAAAUAGUAAAGUUACAAUUGACUUAAAUAACUUUUUUUUGUUGACCUUUUCCAAUACCUUAAACUAGGAGUGUCAAACUCAGUUGCGCUGUAGCAUUACCACAUAUAUGUUAACAUUUAAUUUUCAGCAUGAAUGUCUUUUUACUGAUGGAAUAAAGAUAGAAUUCAGGAAUGGAUUUCCAUGUCAUAACCCUGGUUGAAAUGGUUUUGUAUGUUUUGUUUUUCUCAGAGUUUAUGUUUGAAUCAAAGGUGGUGGAUGUUUUACCAACACCUUAAAGGAGCAUUGGACUACAAACAUGGCUACCUGGGGACUUCCUGUCACCCAGGUGUCAGACUGAUUACAAACAUUACAAAUGAGAGGAGAGUCUCUGGGAAAUCAGCUGAGUGAGGAUUCCUGAUUGAGCCACAGAUACUAUGUUGACAGCUGGAGAAGCUGCACUGUUAAGGAUUACCAGCCAUUGGAGAAGAGCACCAACCAUGAUGGUGGAAAUGUAUCUACUAUUGGGAAAUUAUGCAGCCCGACUGCAGUCAGGACCGCGGCGUGCCCAUUAGCAUUCGGAGUGGCGCGCGGCGCGGUCUCAUCAGCUUGUCAAACUAAAUUACAGGUGCAGAAUACACAGUGAAUCAUUCAUCACCCCGCACUGUCCUCCCCAGCCUCCAACUGCUUCCUCUUUGUUUAGCCGCGGUGCUCCAAUGGAGAUGCAUCCAAUCAAUGUAAUUGAGGGUGAUUGUGACUCGAUCCAGCGACUCUGUGCAAUCACCGCCGCGAUCAAUGGCCGCCGCUCCCAUCCUCCUGCUGUCACCGUGAAGGAUUGUUCGUGGAUGCAACAAGAUGAAUUAUUUUAUGUGAAGAUGUAUCUGAUGAUUUCUGGAGGGUUUUUUCUUUUUUUUGUUCCAGCAGGCAGGAGCACUUGGGUUGUGAAGUGCAUCACGGAACAACAAUUAACCAGUCCAACUUUGGAGAUCAAAACUUUCACCAAUUCAACCAAAAAUGACGCUCAAAAUAAUUAAUCUAUUUAUCAACUUUGUACAAAAUUAUCCUAUAUAUUUUUAUUUUUUAAAUCCAGAAUUUUGUCUAUUUAGUUAUUAAGAAAAAAAAAA